CUCUUUUCUCUCUUCUCUCUUCUCUCGUCUCGUUUCUCUUUUUACUCUGGAAAAAUCCUAAAAUUUGUUGAUGUGUAAUCGAGUUCAUCUUCUGCAGGAAUCAAUAGAUAGUAUCUGGAACUUCAUCAUAGACAAAGGUAUGUCUGAAGCUUAGCUGAUUUCGAUGUCCUGUGGUGGUUCCUCUCUCCAAAGCAGAGUGACCUCUGAAAAGAGUGAACAUGUUGAUAGCAACUUAUCCAGAAGAAAAUUUGGAUAAUAGUAAAGUGGUGGUUACUCUUUCAAGAUUCACUGCUGCAACAAGCAAAAAAGUUGAGAGCAACUUAUCCAGAAGAAAAUUUGGUGGUUAUACUCUUCCAUCUAUUAUCCUUUUUGCAUUAUGUACAUAUGUUUUUCGUCUCUUUUUAGUUGGCUGAAUCUUCUUGAUGUAUGCAGUGUCUUUUGCUGCCUGGUCCACCAGUUGUCCGAAGGACUUCAUGGCUAAGUUGCUGCGGGUUGUUUGUUUCUAAUAUAUGGGCUUUCCCCCUUCCUUUCUUGUUAGCUAGGGUUAGUUUAUUGGUGUAUAUAUAUAUAUAUAUAUAUAUAUAUAUAUAUAUUCACGAUCGGCAGCUUUCUUCUCUCCUGCUAUCAUACUUGAGGUUUAUUGUCUUCUCUGUCAAGUUAAUGUACACACUACAAUGGGAGAUUCACUGGCUGUGAAAGCUAAAGGUCAAUAUAACCAUUGGUUAGAACAUGAAAGCAAGAUGUUAGUCCAGCUGCUGGUGGAUGCAAUCAAUCAGGGUUUUCGUGAUGGUAAUGGAAAAUUCAGCAAAUUAACCGUGGAGACAAGAGUACUACUACCAACAUUAGAUUGUUUUUGUUCUUUCUGUUGAUUUAUUAUUAUUAUUUUUUUUAAUUCUUUUCGCUACAAUGUCUUUUUUUUAUUUAUCUUAAAUUAACUAAAGUAUGAGUGUAGUUUAGGUAAAAUGUGAUUCUUCACAUGACGUACGUAUUGCAUAUGUACUCCAAUCACCAUGUAUCUCCGAUCACCCA